CCUCAGCCCUGUGUUCUCAACAGCAGAAGGCAAACGUUGUGAUGACCCUGUUUGAUUAAAGAAUUUGUACUUUUAAGUUUCCACCCAUAAAUCAGGGAUGCCAAUCCAGGUAUCCAUCACCACCAGAUAAUAACAGCAUGUGCAUAUCAUUUACUGUAUUCUGAUUUCUUUACAUAUGUUAACUUAUCACAGCAACCAUAGGAAAUGGGUUCUGUUAUCAUCAUCAUUUUACUGAUGGGGGAAUCAAGGCACAGAAGGGUUAAUUAACCUGUCCAGGGUCACACACUGGGCUAGACUUUGAACUCAGGACAUCAGGCUCUAGAGUCUUCUAAAGUCCUCUCUACAUUAUAUUGUCAGAGGGGGCAGCAGGCUACCAAGUGGGUUGGAUUCAUUCUUGGAUAUAGAUGUAGCCUGAAAUCAUAAGCAUAUCAUCAGCCCCUCAUCUAUAAAGAUCCUUCCCACCUGUCCCCACAGCAGCCCGGGAGACUAUGGCUUCCAUCUUCUAAUCAAGGGUGCCAUGAGGAAAGUGAGUGUGACUGGCUCCCUCAAAUACCAGAAAGGAUAAUUUUUCAGGUGUAUAUCAUUGAUCCUUAGCCAUCUCCAAAUUUCUGGAUUCCAUGCCCCCUUGCCUAGAUGAAUAUAAGGAAAGGUAACCUCUCCCCGGUACAGCUAGGUCCACUUUAUAGUGGUCCGAGCACAGCAAUCAACACAUCAGGCUCUUUCCUGUAAAAAGCAAUCAAUACUGUCCCAUCCCACAUCCUCAUCCUUUCCUGCUCCUUGGUCUAUAACUGCUAUUGAUUACAUCAGAGCUGGGAAGCAAAUGCCAAGAUAUAUCAAUCAAUCACCAAGGUACCAAAGAGACUUUAUUAAAACCAUUACACCUUCUUCUGUUUUCCUGCCCACCCCAGGUUCCUCAGCCCAGUGGCCAUUUCUUUUGGAAUGUUUCCAAGAACUUUGCAGACAUGAUCUGAUGGCUGGUGGAAUUUCCUCUAUUUGGGGAAAAUUUAGACCCAGAGAAGGCGCAAGAACAAGUCCCAUGGUGAGAAGAUGGAAACCAGGCACUGGGCUGGAAAAGAGGAGCUGGUAAGUCCUGAGAAUGACCAUGAGCCUCACCAGCGCCUUCCCUGUACCUUCUUUUCUGGAGCUCAAGGACUUUACAUUUGAGGGGAUGGAGUUGAUAUAUAAA
rnacentral:lncRNA from 1 species